UGCCCUACUACUGGCCCUACUACUGCUCCUAUUACUGUACACUACUGACCUACUACUGUACCCUACAAACUGUAUCCUACAACUGUGCCCUACUACUGUGCCCUACUGAACCCUACUACUGUACCUUAAAAACUGUACUCUACAACUGUGCCCUACUGCUGUAUCCUACUACGGAACCCUACUACUGUGCCCUACUGUACCCUACUGCUGUACCCACUGCUGUACCCUACUGCUGUACCCUACUACUUUACCCCACUGCUGGCUACAUUUAGAUGAUUUGAAAGAGACUAGAAUAAACUUCCCAGUUAUGUAUACAGUACAUAACACUACUAUUGUCUCAUAAUUGUGACGUCUGUAUGCAGGCUUUACUAUGACAUAUACUACGGGUUUCCCAAACUGACUGCCUAAUUGUGUAAAAACACCAGCAAAUCACCUCCAUGUGAUUUUAUUUUGGAAAUCUGUUCCAAAGUAUUCCCACGCAUUAUAGAGGUUUAUUAUAUAAACUAAUUUAAGCAAGGUUUGAAAUGAUUAUGUUUUAGUCAAAUAUUAUAUAUGUUUGGUCUUUUUGCGGUCUACACAAAUUAUUAGUCAUUUUUUCCCAUAUUUCAUAUUUGUUUACGAUGUGUUUACUAUGAUGUAACUGUCUGGGUUGCAUAAGAGUUAGAAACCUGAGUGUAGAUUGAUCAAAUAAAAACUUUGACCCACUUGCAUACAUAUAAUAGUUUUGCACAGCCAGAUGUGGUCAAAUAUAUAUUAGUCUCCUUGCACUUUACAAUGAAGUGCAAUGGAGCAGAAUGUGGUUGAAUGGCUAUUUUUCCCCGUAGGCACCUGCAACUUACCACAAUAUAUUUGAUGGCAUCUGUAAGCAACAAUACACUAUCACCUACGUAGUCUAUUAGAUGGCUAUAUUAUGUGUCUGUGUGCGUGUGUUUAGACGGGGCUUAGAGACAGAGAAGAUCCACUAACAGAGCCUGUUCCAGAGCUGGGCCCAUGGAAUAUCAGCUUCUCAAGUUCUUCAUCAUACUAAUCAUCCUCCUCAUCCUGUCUUCCUGUUACCUGGCCUUCCGUGUCUGCAGCCUGGAGCAGCAGCUGUCCUUCCUCAACAACCCUACACGGCCCCCCCGAGAGAGGUGAGUGCUGCUCUGCACUGUGAUCCAAUACCACUUGACUGUCUCCCUUUACGGACACAUUCCUCUCUGUGACCACCUCCAGACUAUGCAAACAGACUAUUUAUUUUUCAGGAUUUUACUUCACUGUAGACUAGAAGAGGGCAAACCCCCAACUCCACCAUUUUGGUGUAGGUAAAAGACAAUGGCAGGUGAAAGACAAUGGGCAGGCCGAUUGAAGAGCCAGCAAACUACACUCAAACCAAUUGUGGAUGGACUGAAAAGCCCGGGAUUGGUGGAAAUGGCUGGGAGUCAGGACUGGGAAGAAUUCUGAUUGGUGGAGAGAUUGGUCUGAUGGUUUUUAUUGAAGAUUUCUGKCCAUGUUCGCCAACAUUAGAGUCAACUGUGUUUUUUCCCUCCCGUCAACUCAACCAAGAAUGAACCACAGGACUUCAGAGAAAAGUCAAAACCAUUCAUCUUUCAGAAAAAAAUAUAAAUGGUACUUUCAAGGAAAGGAUUUGGAUGCAUUAACACACUGACAGUGGAAGAAGCCAAUAUCGUUGGCUUUACAGAAUUUUAAAAAGUAUUGCCCAUAUGAACUUAUGAGGAUCAGUCCACUAUUUCAAAUGUUCAUCAUCAUCAAUGAGGUCUAACUAUGUUGACAUUCUAACAGGCAUGUUAUUCCUGAUAAACGGUGCAAUACAAUUAUGCAAAGUAUCCAGCCUAGACUGACUUUUUAAAUGUUGAAAUAUUGUUCUUUAACUCUGUUUGUGUCAUCAUGACACCACAGGUAUAUGUUUACCAAAGUGGGUAGGAUGGUACUCUUUCAUGUCCAAAAAAUAUUGUUUAGUAUAACAGCUUGUCUUUUGUUUUAAUUUGUAUAAAUGUCAGUUGUGAGCUUUGUAUUGUAAGCUACCUUUAGCCAGACACAAUGUGUCACAGUGAGUGAUCAGUCUUGUAUCUAAAUACUGAACACAGUCRUCUGAAUGAGUAAACAAUGAAGACAUUGACUGAAGUGAAAAAUAAGAUGAUGUUUUCUUUCUUACACUCUGUAAACUUAAAAGUUAAAUCUGCAUUUCAGCCGGGAAGAAAACUAGCAAAAAAAAGAUUUCUAGUCCUUUUACUCAGAGUGUCUGAACAGAUGCAUUAGGAACAAACACUCCCCACUUUGAGUAUUACAGUAAUAUUGUUGAGGAAACAGAGCUGCAGUGUGUACAGUAUACUUUACUACCAUAACCAUUAGUAUGUCUUAUCUGGUCUGUUUUGGGUCUAGACACAUCUGCAACUAUGUAAUAGUGGUCACUGAUCUUCAGUCAAUGGUGAAAGAACAAACUGUCCCUGUGACUCUGAGAACAGAUGAACCCUGUAGCACCCCUGAACAACCCAUUACAAGACUACACUGUACAACCCAACUGUGACGGUUUCUAAUAAACAGCCAUUUGAUCUUGA